UAGUCCACGCCGUAAACGAUGUCUACUAGCUGUUUGUGUCCUUGAGGCGUGAGUGGCGCAGCUAACGCACUAAGUAGACCGCCUGGGGAGUACGGUCGCAAGAUUAAAACUCAAAUGAAUUGACGGGGGCCCGCACAAGCGGUGGAGCAUGUGGUUUAAUUCGAUGCAACGCGAAGAACCUUACCAUCCCUUGACAUCCAGAGAAUUUCACAGAGAUGUGAUAGUGCCUUCGGGAACUCUGAGACAGGUGCUGCAUGGCUGUCGUCAGCUCGUGUUGUGAAAUGUCGGGUUAAGUCCCGCAACGAGCGCAACCCUUAUCCUUAGUUGCCAAGCGAUUCGGUCGGGAACUCUAAGGAGACUGCCGGUGACAAACCGGAGGAAGGUGGGGACGACGUCAAGUCAUCAUGGCCUUACGGGAUGGGCUACACACGUGCUACAAUGGACGGUACAGAGGGCGGCGAGCCAGCGAUGGUUAGCGAAUCUCUUAAAAGCCGUUCGU
rnacentral:rRNA from 1 species